GCUUGUUUCACUCUUCUUUGCUGUGGUUGUUUCUGAUUAAAGAAUGGGCCCCUUGAGUGGAUAAAGACAAGGCCUUAGAGCCCCCAGCCCCCCGAGAAACACUAACAUUGGCCCAAAGUUCCCCAGGGCUGUCCAUCCCUGUAUCUCCCCUGUAGGACUUGAAGCCAUGAGCACUUGCUGUGUGGGGGAGAGAGAGAGCUGUAUUCCCAGUGAGCUCAGGGGGCAGAGAUACAAAAAAGACACCGCACUGAAAGCGCUCUGAGUUUCUCCUCCCAUUUAAGGCGACUAAAUAAAUGU
rnacentral:lncRNA from 1 species